rnacentral:tRNA from 1 species
UGUGAUGUGGCGCAGCUGGUAGCGCACUCGGCUCAUAUCCGAAAGGUCGUCGGUUCAACCCCGACCAUCACAA